rnacentral:rRNA from 1 species
UACGUAGGGUCCGAGCGUUGUCCGGAAUUACUGGGCGUAAAGAGCUCGUAGGUGGUUUGUCGCGUUGUCCGUGAAAACUCACAGCUUAACUGUGGGCGUGCGGGCGAUACGGGCAGACUGGAGUACUGCAGGGGAGACUGGAAUUCCUGGUGUAGCGGUGGAAUGCGCAGAUAUCAGGAGGAACACCGGUGGCGAAGGCGGGUCUCUGGGCAGUAACUGACGCUGAGUGCGCGAAAGCCAGGGGAGCAAACGGG